GUACAGUACUGAACUGUACACAUCAUCUUUUUGUCACAUGCACGUUAGAAACACACUUUCACCAAACAUUCACCAAUUGCAAUAUUGUUUAUCAAUAUCUCCAUUCAAAUAAAUAAAGCUAAAAAGGAAUGCCAAAUGCAAUUAAAGAAGUGGGAUGCGUUUCUCUUAUGGCUGUGAAAAUACUAGCUUAGACUGAAGUGAGGCAACAGAUGUAUAAUUAAAGUAUUUUCUGUUUUGCUUUGCUUUCAGGAUCCUAUCAGAGGAGAACAAUCUAAUCUGAAGGCUGCAGUGUCAGACUACUGUUUUUCAAUAUUUUUUUCAGUGCUGUUUGCAGAACUAAGGUUCAGGUUGAGCAGGUAGACCAUGCUUCUUCUGACUACUGCUUGGUUUUAUGAUAGCUUAUCUAUCAGAUACUGCAGGCUGAAAAAAGAUUUGAAUCCAGUGGCUUUCUGGGAAACUGCUCUCACUGUGAAGUUAUUAUGAAAGGAGUAGGAACCACAUGCUAUUCUGGCUACAUUUUGAAGAAGACACCUCCAUGUUUUCUGUUCUCAUUGGGUGGUGGGAAGGAAAUAGAAUGUCUAUGGUGCUUUCACCAGGUACUAUUUUUGGCCACAGCUCAACAUGAAUUUCCCCCUCAAAAAUUCAUCAGGAGUUAACUCAGAUGGAGGCCAUUCUCUGUAGGUAUCUUCAUUGUGGAUUCUUUGUGUGGAUGCAAAAGAGUAAUUGUACAGAUAGAGGCUUUUCUGAGCCAGUAGUAGGUGAAAUUUGAUACUCCAGACAUAGUUCCCUUAUUCACAUACAGACAUAAGGAAGUUCCAAUAUAACUCGAGAUCUGCAGAGAGGUGAACUGGAAUACAAAUAAUGAAUAGAAGCAACUUAUGUUUAGGUGCUCUAUUUGGACAUCUUUGAGAUGACAGUGUAUCAAGAAAUGACAUUUUUAAAAGGGGAUCUUAUCCUAUUUGGGUAAUUUUUGAUACAUAAGAAACCUAUUUGUACUAACUGCUGUGCACAAACACCACACUCUGUUACAUUUUCCUCCUGUCACCAAAUAUUUACAAUUAAUUACUUCAUGGUCACUACAGCCGAGAUGGCUACCAAAUGUCACUUCACCCACAAGACCUUUUCUGGUCACAAGAAACAGACCCAAGAGGGCACCUUUCCUCAUCAGCUCCCAUAGUACUUCUAACAGGAAGCUGUCAUCAACAACCGAAGUGGGUUUACCUGCCUAUGGGGAAAAACAGGACAGAAGGAAAUGAACUGUGAUUUUUAACUGGGACAACCAACACAAUGGUAGCUGCAGAAAGAAAGAGUAAAGGCACUGCAUCUGUAUGUAUUUCUGGCACUAUUACUAGUUAUUUUAUUUAAAGGAACAAGUCCUAAAACCAACUUUCUGGUACUUUGGUUUUGUUCAGUUCUGUGAGAUCCUAAGGUAAAGAUCAAGCCUCAUAAAACAUUAAUUAUCUUGACUCUUAGUACAAACAUAAGCACACUGUGUAUACUCCAGGCCCACCCAUUUCUCCUGUGGCAUUCAUCUUUAAUAAUGUAAACAUUCAGAAUUUGUGAACAUCAAUUUGUCACGGCAGUUACAAAGUUUUGCAUAUAGUUUUCAGUUUAAAUGCUAUGCUAUCAAAUGUAGAAGAAAUAUACUAGGUUUCU
rnacentral:lncRNA from 1 species